GUUAACUAUUAUGGAAGAAUACAAGAUAUCAUUGAACUAAAUUACUAUGGUGCUUUCAAAGUUGUGAUGUUCAAAUGUGAUUGGUUUGAUGUCCAUCAUAAUAUGGGUGUGAAGCAAGAUGAAUAUGGAUUCACGCUACUGAACUUUUCUCGCUUAAUACACACUGGUGAGAAAGUAGACGACGAUCCAUAUGUAUUCUCUUCUCAAGUGGAACAGGUAUUUUAUGUGCAAGAUCCUAAAAACACAAAUUGGCAUGCAGUUGUAAAGGUUAAAUCUCGAGACUCAUUUGAUGUGGUAAAUGAUGAGGUAUUGACUGAUGAAAAUUUU
rnacentral:misc_RNA from 1 species